rnacentral:rRNA from 1 species
GUCGCUACUACCGAUUGAACGGCUAAGUGAGGCUUCCGGACUGGCUCAGGGAGGUCGGCAACGACCACCCAGAGCUGGAAAGUUGUCCAAACUUGGUCGUUUAGAGGAAGUAAAAGUCGUAACAAGGUUUCC